GGCGUAGUAGGAUAAUGGUUAGUCUCUCUGACUUUCAAUCAGAGUUGUGCGGGUUCGAGUCCCGUCUACGCUA
rnacentral:tRNA from 1 species